CCAAGCUAGAGGAGGAAGGGAGAAAAGAACAGAAAGGGACACAUACACACACUGGUUAGUGGUAUCAUCUUCAGGUCUUCCCUUUACCAUGAAGCCUGUUCAAGCAAUUUUUCCUUCAACAUCAGAUGACGUCAUCUCAAUAGAAAUCUGCCUUCACUACCUCUCACUACUGAUCAUUGUGUUCAUAUGUAUUCACAGUACCCUUGGUUCUUCGCUUGUAUGUGAAAAGGCUGUUUUACAUGUGGCAUGUUAAAACAGCCUGACACAUUUUUCAGGAUACUGGGGAUCAACUCAAGUCUUACUCUUUUCCUUAACUCUAAAUACUUUUUUUUUUUUUUUGGUUUUUCAAGACAGGGUUUCUCUGUAUAGCCCUGGCUGUCCUGGAACUUACUUUGUAGACCAGGCUGGCCUCAAACUCAGAAAUCCGCGUGCCUCUGCCUCCCAAGUGCUGGGAUUAAAGGUGUGCGGCACCACGCCCGGCUCUUAAAUACUGUUUUCCUUGCUCUCCUGUGUCACCUUCAAAUGCUCAUGGUGAUGCUUUCCUUUUCUUGGUUAAGCUGUAUCUCCUUAAUUCACAACAUACAUCACACACCAGGCCUCUGCCUCUCCCCAGUUUAGUAUCAAAGCUGUUACUGUCUUCUGAGUCUUACUCUAUAGCCCAGGCUGUUCUUAAACUUGGAGCAAUUCUCUUGCCUCAGCCUUCCAAGUACUGGAAUUUCAGGCACCAGCUACCACUCUAUGCUUUGGUUAUAGAUACUUUCCUUUUCAGACUCAAAGAAUCCAGGGAAUAAGAUCCAGCAAGUACAAUAGUAGGCUUCACUUAGUAGAAAGCAUCUCUAAAACAGUCAUCCAGCCUUCAUCAACCUUGCAGAAGCUGCCCCAUCUUCUUCACAUCUGGUUUCCUAACACCAUACCCAUGCUCUAUGCUUACAAGCCACACAAAUGUAAACACAUCAUGUAUCUUUCUCUUGGCUUCCUCAGCUGCAAACUGAGGAAAAAGUCCUUACUUCACAUUGCUGCUGUACAGAAAACAAGCUGAUGUGGAUGAAAGGACUUAACACAGCUCUGGCACACAGUAGUACUCUAGUAUUCAACAAUGCUAGCUGACUUGUAACCCCAUAAAAGGUUAGUAAGCCACAUGUGCAUAUAUCCUAUGAUUCUAUAAGGAAUGUGAAUUGCAUUAGCCAUUUGUAAUGCUUGAGAAAAUUAUGACCACCUUUCCCUACCCCCAACUGCUUUCCCCACUGUCACAUAAAAGCUCUAGAAACUGAAACGGUUCUAAGAUGACAAAAGGAAAUCAGGACUCUGGAUGAACUUGUAGAAGUAGUCAGAGAAUGCUGCUGAUAAAAGCCACUGGUCUAAGAGUAGCCUUCAGAGUGUAACCAAACCAGAUCAGGACAAUCAGCAAAAAGCAGGAGGGAAUUUCAAAGUGAUCCAGAUCGAGAAAAUAAGUCUAGAGUAUUUUGUCAGGUGAUCCUGGCUUCAGAAUCUGGCAUAACCAUCAGGAAACUCAGAGUCCUCGUCCCAAACAAGCAAAGAACAUCUAAUGCACACUUCAAAAGAUGAGAGGCUUUUGUAGAACUGGAGAGUAAGUCAUUUCUAAGUGUUAGUGACAUUUUCCUUUGGUCUAGUGAGGCGGGCUAUCUAUACUUUGGGUGGGUAGAAAAAGGGUGUUCAAUAUAUGGUUUUCUGGUCACUCUGAGGAAUUUUUAUUCAUCCCCCUACCCCAAGAUAGGGGUCUCUGUGAAUUUCCAGCUGGCCUUGAACUCACUAUUCAGCAGGGGAUGGUCUUAAACGUCUGAACUUCUUCCUGCCUUUACUCCCCAAUCCCCAGGGUUAGAGGCACAUUUACCUGUUUAUGCAGUGACAGAGACUGAAUCCAGGCUUCCUGUGUGCUAGGCAUGCACUCUACCAAGCUGCACUUCCAGCUGCAGAUGCCCUGCUUCCUACCACCAUCCUUCCAUGGCAUUCAUCUGACCAGUAUCACAUAGUCCAGUUUCCUACCAACCCAGCAGUCAGGACCAAAGCUGUGCAGAAAGAAACUCUUCUACUCUCAGAUACCAACAAAAAGAGACACUUUAGUUCAUCUUUCUCCCAACUGUCAAGCAGGAAAUGUAUCUCCCUCCACACUUCCUGAUGAAGUGCUUCGUAUCAGUAGGUAAGAAGGUGGUGUUCCUUCACUACACUCUCCCAGAGUCGGCAGUGCUUCUGAGCAGCAGAACCAGGAUGGCUGCCUAUGUGCAUCUGCCUCUAACUGUGACUGUGGAUUGCACAGGAAUAACAAAGAAGCUUUAAUCGCUCAUUGCUGUACCUCUGUAGGGCACCCUCAUGAUCUUUAUUUCAACUGGAACUUCUACCUUCUAGAUCUUCUGGCCUCAACCAAUCCCAUUCAGCUAACUCUUUCUCAGUGUCUAUAUGCUUAGCUCAUCCUUUUCAUGGUUUCUAUGAACACAGAGUUCUAAGUUACAAAGCUCCUAAAAGUCUGCUUUUCAAAACCAUAAAGGGGGACUGGUACCGGGUACAGAACGGUAACUCCAGAGUCAGAGGCAGGAGGGUCAGAGCACAAAGUCAUCCUCAGCUACACAGAAAAGUUCAAGGCCCAGGCUGCAGGCAUCAUCUAAAAACAAACACACACAUUGUAAAGGGAGUCUGAGAGUCUAAGCUUACAAGUGGACUGCUUGCCUAACGUGUACAAAGCCCUGUGUUUGAUCCCCUGCACCAUUAAAAUAAAACCAAUCAGCAGGGCAAUGGUGGCGCACGCCUUUAAGCCCAGCACUCGGAAGGCAGAGGCAGGCGGAUUUCUGAGUUCGAGGCCAGGCUGGUCUACAGAGUGAGUUUCAGGACAGCCAGGGCUACACAGAGAAACCCUGUCUCAAAAAACAAAAACAAAAACAAAAAAACCCAACCACCCCCAAAACUUCCAAGUGAAAUGAAGUUCUGCCAUUCUCAAACGCAAGAGUUCUUAGAAUGUCACCAGGAAAUUCAUUUUCCUGUUCCAAUUAAUUGAAAUUGUGUUUAUUAUUGACUCCAGGAAGACAGGUAAAGACAUCAUCACCCUUUUAUCCCAUGGGCAAAAGAAGACAAUUUCCCAAGGCUCAGCAAGGAACCCAUAUCACAGUAUUCAGAGUACUUCUAUAGUGCACAGACCCUCUCACCUGUCCAAGAAACCAGAUAAUAUCAACAUGUGCAGAAAAACUGGGCAUAGGGCAGGUAAGGGAGGCUCAGUGGGUAGGAACGCUUGCCGUGUGUGCAAGCCUGGUGGCCUGAGUGCCAUCCUUUGACCAUAAGGCAGGAGAGAAUCAACCAAGUCAGGAAAGUAAUCUUCUCACCUUCACAUGCUUGGGGUAGCAUGUGUGUUACUGUGUGUGCAUGCACAUGGACGGACACACACACAAAUGAUACAUGACAUUUCAGAAAAAGCAAGGCAUGGUGGUGUGUGCCUGUAAUGUCAGCACUUGGGUAGUAGAGGCAGGAGAAACUAUUGUCAAAACAAAACUAAACCAAAACCAAAACCCAAAAAAAAAUUUUAGAAUUUCAACAACAACGCCCUCCCCGCAAAAGUAGGGCAGAUAAAUCCAACUUCUCUUCUCUUUUAUACAAGCAUCUCUACUACUAGGUACCACCUGGUUCUUGGGGACUCAGGGACUGCCAGUAACAGAGGAUUAUAGGAGGGACAGGAUCAGAUCAUAUUGGCAAACGAGACAACAGAAGAGGGACUGAGUAGACCUCUGCAAGCUCAAGGAUCUGAGUCUGAUCCCCAGAACCCGUGGCAAAAAAGCCUAACAUGAGGCAUGGUAGCACACACUUGCGAUCUCCAGUGCUGGGGAACAGACAGGCAGAACCCUAGCAUUUACUAGCCACCCAGGCUAUCCUACUUAGCCAGCUGCAAGGGAAGGAGCGCCUGUCUUUUUUUUUGGUUUUUAGAGACAGGGUUUCUCUGUAUAGCUCUGGCUGUCCUGGAAAUCACUUUGUAGACCAGGCUGGCCUCGAACUCAGAAAUCCUCCUGUCUCUGCCUCCCGAGAGCUGGGAUUAAAGGCGUGCGCCACCACUGCCCGUUUUUUUUUUUUUUUGUUUUUUUUUUUUUUUUGUUAGUCAGCAUCUGAUGAACAAUACCUGAACUUGUCUUCUGCCUUCCACAUGCAUGUGCACACAAAUAAACACAUAUGGGCAGAGACAUAUACACACAGUAAAAGAACUAAAGAGUUACUUCAAAAUCUAAGUCAAAUAUGAUGCUCAACAUUCAUUUCUUCAUCUUUAAGUAAAUAAAAGCCAACCAUGGAAUACUAUUUUGAAGUAAAAGGAUUAAAAUGCAGAAAUGAAAAAGGGAGAAAACAACAAAGUCUUGCACUUAUCACUCUUCCUCCUGCAAGCUGUAGCAUCCAUAGCUGAGGCACUAACUCUCCUUCAGACAGACUGCAAGGAAAAAGAAGAGGCCUCCUGUCUGAGCCUAGCAGCCUGAGAUGGAGGCUGGGGAAAGAUCAAAGCUUAAAUGUUGUUAGCUGGACCCCAUAGAACUGGGAGAGGAAGGCAUGAGAAAUAAUCUUAAAUCAACUUCAUGGGAUUUAGAGUUACCAUGGAAACAAACCUCUGUGUGCAUGUCUGUGAGGAAAUUUCUAGAUUUGGUUAACUGAGGUGUGAAGAUCCAUAGGUGGCACCACUCUGGGUCAGGGCCCCAGAGUUAAUCAAGAAGAGGCAGCAAGGUGAGCACUAACAUUCCUGCCUCCCUCUCCUUUCUCACUGCAGAUACAACCAGCUGCCUCACAUGCACAACACUAUGCUUUACCCACUGUGCUGGACUAUAACCUCAAACUGUGAGCCAAGUCAAUUCUCCUUAAGUUGCUUUUGACAGGUGUUAUGUGAUAGCAAUGAGAAAAAUAACUAAUACAAUAGAGAAAGUCUGAGUAUCAGGGUGGAUCCAGGUUACACUAGUACAGAACUGCUUCUGAAGAGGAAGAGAAAGUGGCCACGAUGUGUUUUAUGGGCCUGAUCAGUUAUGUCUACAGAGGUCUUUGCAGGGAAUGCUACCUCUUAACCAGGCUCUCUGCUUCAGAACACCUUAAAACUUCUGUUUGCGAGGGGAGUGGAGAAACAAAAAAAAAAAAAACAAAAACAAAAAACUUCUGCUUGCACAGAAUUUAAUGAAAAGGGUCUUUAUGAAAAGGCUUACUGGACUGGCCUCUCAGGAAAAAUGGUACCGAGACCCAAAUUAAUACCCUUACCCAAUUACUAUUAUUGCUUCUAUUGCUUCUUUGGUCUUUUUCCUUGCAUGAUAAAUAUGAACUGCUCCACACCAAUCCUGGUGGCCUAAAAAGCUCCCAAAUUUUCAUAGACUAGCUUUUAAGGAUCAUCUGAUCUACUGCUCUUCUUCCAAACAGCCAGGUCACUUCAAUUUCCCUUCCUUUCAACGAUCCUUUGAAAUGGAUCAGAAGUGGAAACAAUAUAAAGGAGCCAAUAUCUUACUGUAUGAGGUGGGUAGUAAAGGAAAACCAGCAAAAGCUCAUGGGAAGAGGGCCAGGGGUAGUAUACUGAGGGCCGAGGGCAGCAGUGGGUGAUUUACCUAACACGAGCACCACUCUGGGUUCAAUCCCAGCAAACCCUACUCCAAAUUAAUAAAAAGAAAGGCUCAGAUACAUUAGCUAAAGCUACGUGUCAGGUUGAAAAACAAAAUAAUGUCAUAAUUACCUAAACAAGUAUGAAUCCUCUACAAUCAAACCCUCUUCAACCAAGGGUCAAGAAUCAGUCACAAGCACUGAAGUGAAGCUAUGGAAAUAAGCUUUAGACAGAAGCUUAAACUGAGAUAAUUAAGUGGUGAGCUCUGAUCUGCAGGGUGUGAACACAGAUGAAGGGAAAGGGACUGUGAGUUUGAUCAUAAAUCCCUAUAACACUAUUGAAUGUUGCCAAGUGUGUGCACUCCUUUAACAGUAGUUUUAAAAAAUAUUCAAAAGGGACUCUAUCAUCCUAGGCUGCUUGUUCUGCUGCUAAGAAGUUCCUUACUGGGGCUGGAGAGAUGGUUCAAUGAUUAUGACCAUUGCCUGCUCUUCUGGAGGACCUGGGUUCAAUUCCCAGCACCCACAUGGUGGCUCACAACCAUCUGUAACCCCAGAUCCAGAGGAACAGACAUCUUUUUCUGGUCUCUGCAAACAACAGGCACAUAUGAUAUGCAUGGCAGGCAAAACAGCCAUGCACACGAAGUACAUUUUUUUCUUAAAAAAAAAACAAGUUCCUUUUCAUAUUUGAAGGCAUAGCACAAAGCUUCAAGGACUCCUUUUUCCCCUUUUACCUUACGAGUAAAGGAAGAAUGACAUCUCCACUUUAUCCUGUAGAAACUCUGGAUUGAGCAGUCUAGCAAGCUCAAGCCCCACCAGGAACCAAGUAUGUUUGUUCAAGGUCUCAAAGGAUGGUGGCAUCAGGGAAGAGGGCAUUCUCAACUAUAGCAUCGGGGGAAGGGCAGUGGUCUCACAGCAGUUAGGUCAAUAUUGAUCAAGCUGAACUCUGUGCAAGGCCAUGCAACAGGUAUAAGCAGAUUCCAACCAGACAGCCCAAGCCUGCUCCAGGAGCCCAUGAUGAGACUGACAAAUGGUAAAGACAGCAACCUGCACUGCUCACCUUUUUCUGAACUAGUCCUUAUUUGAGUCCCAAUGUGCUUACACUAGGCCUUCUCUUUUCCCAUGCCAAUUACUGAAAGAAUUCUUCUAAACCUCUUACCCAAACCAAAGCAGCUCUGUUUGCUAUAUGAGUGUUCAGCAAACAUGUUCUCAUACAGUGUGGACCCAGAUGAGAAGCUAGGAAAACCAGGGGGCUUCUCCCAUAAGUGGGGAUCAUUAAUAGACUGCACUCCAAGUAAUUUCAGGGUAAGGAGAAGUGUAACAAGAUAGUAUAACUAUUUUCAAACCUGACCAGGCAUAGAGUUGGAAGAUGGAACGCCAGUGCCUUCUUUAUUAUCUCAGGCCAAGAGAGAUGUGGAAGACAAUUUUUUUUUUUGGUUUUUCGAGACAGGGUUUCUCUGUAUAGUCCUGGCUGUCUUGGAACUCACUCUAUAGACCAGGUUGGCCUCAAACUCAGAAAUCUGCCUGCCUCUGCCUCCCAAGUGCUGGGAUUAAAGGUAUGCGCCACCACCGCCCGGCUACCAAGGUUCUUUUACAAAGGCCUUUCUACAAACACACUUUCUGACCACAGAAUCUGGAGUUAUGAAUCAGGUACAGAAAAAAAAAGGCACAGAUGGUCAACGACUUAAUGUAGUGGAAGAAAGAGUUGAGAAGCAGCAGGCCAAGCAAGAGCUUGUAUUUCAAACUGACUUUAUACUCAUAGUCAGAGAUCAGAGAGAUCAAAAUAUCAAAAUAAAAGAGAAUUCUCAAGAUGGCAAAGCCACUAGCAAUAAAUACCUCUCAUCUGACACCUGUAGUGUUUUAUAAGUUAAAAAAGUACAAUUCUUCCCCCAACAGACAUCCUGUUAUUAGCCUAUUACAGUACUGGUGCUUGCAGAAUGGGCCAUUUUCUCAAAAGACCAUUCUAGAGUUCAAGUGAGGAAGUUACAAGCUGAACCAAGGGGCCCUGACUCUGAGUAUACAUCUCUUUACACUGUCUUAUGUUCCUUUUCCCAAUCAGCCCCAACCCCAGACACACACACACAAACACAACUUCACCUUAGGUCCAAAUGCUUAUGAAACUAACCAACAGUAGUCCACUAAGCUUCAGUCAGGAAAAUAAUGGUUCCUCUUAGGUCUAGACAGGAGUAGGAGAUUCUGUGAUCUAACAGAAAUCCUAAAGUAAUCUAAAGCAAAAUUUCUCACAACUUCAUUCAGUUUCCAUGCUCAGUUUCUGAGCAUCUUUCCUAGUGGUUGCUCUUAAACACUCAACAAAAUGUAAUCUGAUUGAUAGACUUCUUUAAAAGUUGCUUCAUCCUUCAGAAACACACAUCUGUCCAGAAAAGCUUGAGACAACUGUGGCUCCCCAUCCUCUCACAUCUUCUUAGUUCAAGCUUUAGCUGAUCUGAAAUCAUAUGUGGAGAUAAAAGGCAUGAUAGAGAACACUUAAAGACCACAGGGAAAACAGAGCCGAGGGAGACAAACAUCAGCCGAAUCCUGGAGAGAAUGUCAAAAGUUGGAAAUCCCUGGAGAGAAUGUCAAAAGUUGGAAAUCACUAUCUGUAGGGGUGUUCACGGCAGAGCUUUCUCCUACGGGAAGCCCUCCAGAGGGCUGGAGAUUGAGAAAGGGGAAAGAGAAGCCAAAGACAGCUUCAGGUAUCAUCAGGCACCCUAGAGAGGGGUUGAGGACUAAGGUCAAAGUGGAUGGUAUCUGGGUAUGAUGACAGUAGUCUGAGAUCCUUUAAGGAGAAGGGAAUAGGCAAUUCUUGGAAGUCAGGAGCUGGGGGAGUGGGUCAUGGUGAGGUCAUGGAAUUGGAAGCAGAAGAGAGGGAUACAAUCUGUAGCUGAGGGAAAUGAGAACUCUGUGCUGAGAUUGCACAGACUCGGAAGAGUGGGGCAAAAUAGGAAAAGGGAUAAAGGCGGAGUCCAUGGAAGAGGCUUGUGAGCAGAAACACAAACGGCGAGGAAGGCAAACAUGGAUGAUAUUGUAGAAGGGGUCAAAUGUGGAAAAGGUUCACGACUUAGGAAGAUAGUUACGGAACAGAGGCAACAGAGGUGCUCCCUGACUCGCAGCAUCUGUUAAUCCAGCCUAAGCCCACAGUCCUGGCUAGGUCCUGACACAUGUGACAAGUGCAUGACAUCUGGUGGCUGCAGAAUGAAGGUAAUGUAAUGAAAUGGCUUGGGAGGGGCAUUCAUAUCCUCUGAGAAGGUGACACUAGGUUGGGAGGUAGGAAACACGGCUGCGGAGAAAGUUUAAGAUUCAGACCCUAAAAGGAGCUUGUUCUGGGAGACAGAGGUGCGAAAGCUGUCCUGUAAGAAUGAAGAGACUAACGAGAAUGGCUUCCUUCUCUGUCCUUCCGAGGCUACAAUGAGAUAAAAGUUAGAGCUGCACUGAGGGAGAUGCAAGGUUCAGGGGACAGGCAGCAGUCCAGCUCAUCCCAGCCUAGCAAGCUAAACCGCACCCAGCGGUCGUUAGCUGCUCCCCAGCAACAAUUCCAUCCUCCACCCAAGCCUCCAUCUGGGGAACCUGGGACUGUGAGACGGCGGACUCCACCCUUUCCCAAGGGUGGUCCACGAUGUGUAGAGACACAUUUGCAUAAACAUCUUCCUGGCCAUACUAGCUGGCCAAGGGUGGAACUGACCUUGGCUGGUUAAUCAUGGUAAAUCUUUGGGCUUUUGCUAGGAUUCCUGGCACAAUGAUAGAUACCCUUUCUUUCUGCUUAGAUAUAACGGUCAAACAGAAGCCUGGGAGUGUUGGUGGCUGUGAAGUGGUCCAAACUAAGGAUGGUUUUACAUUAUGUGAAGCAGAAGAACAGAGUGUGCAAUCAGAUCAAGCCUCACCUGCAGCCAGGACUGCCUCUUGAUUCUGCAACUUCAGCUGAUAAACUGCUUUUAUCUUUAA